rnacentral:piRNA from 1 species
CUCGCCAAGGUAGUGAUGGCCC